UACAGAGGUCUCAAGCGUUGUUCGGAUUCAUUGGGCGUAAAGGGUGCGUAGGUGGCGCCGUAAGUCGGGUGUGAAAUUUCGGAGCUUAACUCCGAAACUGCAUUCGAUACUGCGGUGCUUGAGGACUGGAGAGGAGACUGGAAUUCAUGGUGUAGCAGUGAAAUGCGUAGAGAUCAUGAGGAAGACCAGUGGCGAAGGCGGGUCUCUGGACAGUUCCUGACACUGAGGCGCGAAGGCCAGGGGAGCAAACAGG
rnacentral:rRNA from 1 species